rnacentral:lncRNA from 1 species
AAUCUCUUGGGCCUCCCUGAUCUACUUCCCUGAAAAGGGUGUCUGGAACAAAAUAAAACAGAAACAAAAACAGAGGUUACUAUUAAAAUCCCACCAAACCCUGCCACUGGCGUCCGUCGGGCUUUGUGGAUUGAUUCAGAUUUAAGGUGCGCCCCUCUAGGCCUUAGCACUGGAGGUGGAAAGAGCAGAAGAGUAAAACUUGGUCUUGGGGUCCCCAAAUUCAGAGGGAGUGACCGCAACAGAGACAGAGUCUCACUCUGUUGCCCAGGCUGGUCUUGAACUCCGUGACUCAAUUGAUCCUCCUGCCUCAUCCUCCCAAAGUUCUGGGAUUAUAGGUGUGAGCCACUGCGCCCGGCCAAGAUACUUCUUUAAGUCCCACCAUGAUGCCUCAGCAAAGCUCGGCGGUCCUGUCAUCAGCAAAAGAAGGGUAAACACCAUUCUCAGGAUCUACUGAUUGUACUCUAACAUUUAACCAACUAUUAAAUGAAGUCUGGUGAAAAUUUUCAUAGGCAUAUUGGAUCAAUACCUAGUGAUAGCCAUGAUUUGUACCUUAGCCUGUGUCAAUUAGAUUUUUGGAAUACAUUGUUCAUACCCAUGUUC